rfam:Triticum aestivum genome assembly, contig: Triticum_aestivum_CS42_TGACv1_scaffold_499707_6BL
GCUGGCAAGUGAUGAUCUGAUAUCCUACACUCUCAAUGGAAAAUUCCAUGUGUGGAUUAUUAAUCUCAUCUUAUUAUCUGAUGCCUUG